CAGAUCUGAGUUUUCAAACUAAUUAUACCAUGUAUAAAAGUAACAUUUUUUGACUUUUUAUUAUUAGCGUUAUAGUCACAUAAUUUCAGAAGCUUGUAUUUAAUCUCCAUAAGAAGCAGUCCUAUUCAGCAGCAUGCAAAUGACACAUUUAUUCAUAAUAAAAGUAUUUUUAUUAGAAGAUUAUGAGUGAGCAAAAUAUAUUGUUCUUCAAAAGAGAAAAAUAAACAAAAAAUCCAUAUUAUUGAGUUGACAGAGUAUUGACAGUAAUGACCAGUGUUGGUCAAGUUACUUGAAAAAAGUAAUCAGUAACUAAUUACUAAUUUCUUCGCCCCCUUUAACAGGUAGCUCAUAUCUUUUAUGCCCACAUUUAACCUGUGUCUAACGAGCUUUUAGUCUCCUAAACAACACAUUUUCUAGAACUCUGGUUCUCUGUGGACUAAUUGUCACAGGUACAAUACAUGCAUAAAUUUCAAAACCACAAAUCUUCUGUUGACAACCUUUGACACAUUUAAAAAGAUCAUUUUCUCCGUCUCCACGCCAGGUGCUUCCUGUUGAACUUCCCACUUUCGCUUAUGUCUGGAACAGCAGACGCACGUCCUAGAACAAACUGUCACUUAUGCAAGUGUGAUACCCACUAAUGUGUGAUCACAUUUAUGUGAAUUAAUUUAAGUAAUUUUACUUUCAAUGUAAGUGAUAUUUCCAUUUUGGAGUGCCCUAAAUAACUACAGUAAUUUUAACAGGAAACUUGGUAACUACUCUGGGAUAUUUGUAGCGGACGCUCCAUUUUUGUACCAGUAGGUGGCAGUGUGAGACCAUGGUUUGGCCUGUUGUUAGCAGCCUGAAGCGCAUGCUCCGCGCUGUUUUCUCAUAAUGGCGGAGUAUUCAGGAACUGCAAGCCACGUCUCCUUGUCUGAUCAUUUCUUUCCUGUUUACAGGUUCGUAUCGUGCCCAAAAUAGAAUAUAACAGCAAUUACAUCCAUUAUAUAGCAUAGAUUAACCAUUAUGGUUGUAAACUGAAAGCGCACAACGUUUUGUAAUACUGUAAAAGUAAUAAAAGGAGUGCAUAAUUGUGAAUUUAAAUAAAUAAUGGCGGAGUAUUCAGGAACGGCAAGCCACGUCUCCUUGUCUGAUCAUUUCUUUCCUGUUUACAGGACACAUAUAUAGCUGUCCACAGGUGCUGCCACCCGGUACCUGUAACACAAGCACAAAAUGCAGUUACAUUAUACAUAUAUAAUCUUCAAUUUUAUUCAUUUGGGUAAGCUACACUUUUAACAACCUUUGACACCCUUUUAAGAAACUCUCUUCUUCUCUUAUCUGAUCAUCUCAAGCACGUCCUGUACUCAGGGCCUGCUUAUCUAUCACACCAUCACUGCUUGCUAAGCAAAAGCAAAGCGAAAUGUUUUUCACCUCUACCCCACAAAUCAAUCUACAUAAUAUUUAUGUCCGUAAGGAUGCAUUAAAAAACUGUUGCAAGUGCAUAAGUUUCCAAGCAAAAUGUGUGUUAACUCUCACCUACAAGUGAACCUUCAUGUUAUCUAUGUCUAUAAGCAUUUUGUAUUGACCUUUGUGUCACCUUUCACAAUACAUCAGAAGAAAAUCAUUAUGACCGCUUAUUCUACUAAAUCAUCAAACAGAAAACAGACAUUUUUAAUCAAUUAACUUUAAGCAUAGAAGCAAUUACUUAUGCCUAAAUUUUAUCAUAACCAAAACAAACUCCCACCAGAUCCUACCAUGAUCAUAAAGCCCCUUAUUUCAAAUUAAACCUUAAAUCCCCCUUUUUGACACACCUCAUGUGUCAAAUAUAACAUGUUCUUGAUACAGCAUAUUCUAAUUUCAUUUUGCUCCUCUUAAUGUAACGGUACAUUCUAAUUAUACUUUAUCAGACUUAACCAAAAUAUAUAUGCUUUCCUUACUUUGCUCCUGUUCUAAAGGAAAAAACCUUGGUCACUUCGACAAGUGUUUGUUAUUCUAUAACUGCAUUUUAUAUGAAAAGUCUAGCAAUCCCCUAUGUGACUCAUAAAUAUUACUUUAAAUGUAAUUAUUUUCCUAUAUAAAAUUUAAUUGACUUGUACCGUGGCCUAUUUUGUUAAUGGUAACAUGAAUUAUAUCGAAAAGUUUCUCCCCUUUUGGCCAUUUCCCCACUAUAUAAUUUACUACCAUAAUCUAAACCCCAUCAAUAACGCACAAUUUACUUAAAGUGAACACCAGCAACCCAAAAUCAGCAGCCAAAAAAUUAAAAUUAAGUCUGCAGCUCCACACUCAUGUGAAACUACACUCUUCCCCUAUGGUCUCUCUCCUCCUCGUGCCCAAAGCAAAACAAAACAAAGCAAAGCAUCCCCUUUCUCUCCCCAACUUAGUCAAUUGUUUGUCCCCCUUUAUUCAUGCCAACUUUGGUCCAGUUGUCAGUCCAGUCACAGUCCAGUCAUUCACUCAAAAGAAAAACACUUGUCUAUCAUUUUAGUGUGGAUUGACACGCCGAGAAAAAAGAGAGCUGAUGAUUAGCUCAUCAAAACACAAAACAUAAUCACCUGACAGGUUUUCUCUAAGUGCACUGUUACAAUUUUAAAGGGCCCAAUUCUAGACAUGUCUAUGUUUACUAAAACUCCCUCUAUUAAAAUAAAA